UUCCUGUGCUGUACAGUUUUAUGUUCUAUGGAGGUCAUUUGGAGCAAGCGGUGAGCUAAAGUCACCAGGUACCCUCUCUGACUUCCAUGUCAAAACUUCUCGGCAUCUAAUUUGCCCGUGGUUUGUAUUAGGAUGGGAAACUGCACUUCAACUGAUGAGGAGAGAUGUGCAGUUAAUAAGGUUGCUAACAAGCAAUAAUCUCCCUUGAAAGGCGACUCACUGCUGCCUAGCAAGAAGCUCACCUCAACACCUGGGAACUUAGUUAAAAGAUGCAAUGAGUUGCUCCCAAGAUUGAAAUAAGUCUCGCUGGACAUCUUGUGUAAUUCUGCCACAUUUCUCACCAUAGUCCAGGUCAUUCAGACUCCUGUAAGAUUCCGCCUGUAGCAUUUUCCCCAUACAAACAGGCCAUUAAGCCCAACUGGUCCAUGCCAGUGUUUAUGUGUCACAUGAACUCCCUCCUAGCCACAUUCCUCUCACUCUAUCAGCAUAGCUUUCCUUUUUGGGUGAUGUUAGGGUGCCUUCUUAAACUGCUGCAGUCCAUCUGGUGUAGGUAAUGCCAUAGUGCUGUUUGGAAGGGAAUUCCUUUUCAUGCACUUAACUUCCCUUAACUGCAUCAAUAUUACAUUUUAUAACGCCACUAAUCAGAUGUUAUCUGGAUUAAAUAGGAUAGUAACUAGCAAACAUUAUCAUCGUUGGUUAAAAUAGUGUGUCUUUAACAAAGAGGAAAGAAAUGCUGGAAAUCUGAAACAAAGACAGAACAUGCUUGUGAAAGAAAACUGGUUCUUCAGCAUCUGAAAGAGAGAGAGGAAUUCAUGUUCAAGGGAGAUAUUCUACACCAAAUGGGAGCAACAUAUUGGAACAAAGGGAGAAAUACUUGCAGAAGAACUGGCAAAAAAAUCGAGGCAAGAAGAUAGAAUAUAAAUAUUGCAGCGAACACCACACAAGAGAAAAAGAAGCAUGUCCAAUGUGGAGAAAAUGGUACUCUAAAUGCAAGAAGCUGAAUCAUGCAAGUAUUUAGCUAGAACAAAGCAAAGCAAGGCUACAAAUACAACUGCUGGGAGAUGUCAGCUGAUGAUUCUGACUUCUCAUUAUACAGGUUGACAUCAUUGGGAGAUGCUUGGAGAAAUACAUUUGUACAGAAUGUACUGGCAGGUUUGCUGUAGUUAUGUGACCGCUACCUUUGUUGUAACUUGCUUUCACUUUAGAAUGAAUAGCCAUUAAAACACAUUACUUAAAACAAUUACAGUACAUCAGA